CACGCAGGCGGCCUGGUAAGUCAGAUGUGAAAGCCCGGGGCUUAACCCCGGAAGUGCAUUUGAUACUGUCAGGCUUGAGUAUGGGAGAGGGAAGUGGAAUUCCUGGUGUAGAGGUGAAAUUCGUAGAUAUCAGGAGGAACACCGGUGGCGAAGGCGACUUCCUGGACCAAUACUGACGCUGAGGUGCGAAGGCGUGGGUAGCAAACAGGAUUAGAUACCCUGGUAGUCC
rnacentral:rRNA from 1 species